GAAAUGCGAUAAGUAAUGUGAAUUGCAGAAUUCAGUGAAUCAUCGAGUUUUUGAACGCAUCUUGCRCUCCUUCCGAGGAGUAUGCCUGUUUGAGUGUCAUUAAAUUAUCAAAAUUGCUCCAAUUUUGUUGGAGUGGUUUUGGAGUGUCUGGGAGUUUGCAGGUCCAUCGAACCGAAGGGCGAGCUCUCCUGAAAUGAAUUAGUGGGGCUGGAUUGGGCCUAAUUAGUGUGAUAAAAGAGAAAUUGAUCACUAGAAAAAGGGCUCUACCUGGCUUUGCUGAUUGCUUAUACUAGCUUGGCUAGAAAAUAAUGACGAAAUCGACCUCAAAUCAGGUAGGACUACCCGCUGAACUUAA
rnacentral:rRNA from 1 species